rnacentral:rRNA from 1 species
CACGUAGGGCGCAAGCGUUGUCCGGAAUUAUUGGGCGUAAAGAGCUCGUAGGCGGUCCGUCACGUCCGCUGUGAAAACCCAGGGCUCAACCCUGGGCUUGCAGUGGAUACGGGCAGACUAGAGGUAGGUAGGGGAGAAUGGAAUUCCCGGUGUAGCGGUGAAAUGCGCAGAUAUCGGGAGGAACACCGGUGGCUAAGGCGGCUCUCUAGUACGGUACUGACGCUGAGACGCGAAAGCGUGGGGAGCGAACGAGG